UAAACCUAGACUCUCUUAGCUGUAAUGGAGUGACUGGUGGGACCUUUGACCUUCGUCUGUGUGUGUUUUGACAGUGAACUGUGGCGUUUCAGCUCAGAUCACCUUGACCAUUCUUAAGAGAAAAUCCUUCAUCAGGACUCUGUACUGAUAGGGUCCUCCUCCUCAUUGUCUGUUUUCUUUCUCCCCUAGACUCUAAAACUCAGAAGCCAGUUGUGUUGUGUAUUGUUUACCAUCCUCCUGCUCCAUGUUCAGAGUUCUUAACUGAAUUCUCUGAAUUCUUAUCUGACCUAGUUCUUAGCACAGAUAAAGUCAUUGUAGUGGGAGACUUUAACAUUCAUGUAGUUGUUGACAGCAACUGUCUCAGCACUGCGUUUAACUUAUUAGUAGCCACUAUUGGUUUUACUCAGCAGGUAAAUGAACCCACUCAUUGCUUUAAUCAUACCCUUGAUCUUAAAUUUUGAAUUUACCAUAAUUGACCCUGCAGCAGCUGAAAAGAAAUGUAAAGAAAAAGAGACGAUGCUGUUGCCAGAUUCAAGCAGAUGAUUCCAUCAUCUUUUGCCUCAAUGUCUUGUAGACAGAGACACAGAGAACAGUAACCUUAAUCCUUAUGAACAGGUUGACUGUCUUGUAGAUGAUGCUGCAGCUUCUCUGCGUUCAAUUUUAGACACAGUGGCUCCUCUGAAGAAGAAGGCAGUGAAUCAGAAGAGGUUAGCUCCAUAGUAUAACUCAGAGACUUUGUAAAGUGCCUUGAGAUAACUUGUAACUGUUGUGAUUUGGCGCUAUAUAAAUUAAAUUGAAUUGAAUUGAAUAGAUCUGCAGCCUAAAGCACAGGACGCAACAACUAGAAAGGCGGUGGCGUUCCAACAAAAUAAAUGUAAACUGCAUUGCAUGGAAGUACAGUCUAAUAAUAUAUAUAAAAAAGCACUUUGUGCUGCUAGAAAAACAUAUUAUUCCUACUUAAUUGAGGAUAACAAAAACAACCCCAGGUUUCUUUUCAGCACUGUAGCCAGGCUGACUAACAGUCAUAGCUGUGUUGAGCCUACUAUCCCCUUAAACAUCAGCAUGUCAGGUUUUGGCAAAAAUCGGACCCACAUGCACAGCGACCAGGUGACAGACAGGUGGUAAAGUUUAAGGAUUUAAUACAGUUUUCUUUAUAACAGACGGCCCAGGUCAUACACAAUGAAGCUCAGGUUUCAGUACAAAGGGAGCAGGCUGAGUCAGGUCCAAGAACAGACAAGGAUUCGGUAAUAGGAUCGACAAGGCAACAGUACCAAUCAGGAGCAGAGAGGAAUCGGAGGUCAGAAACACGAAACAGGAUCAUGAGAAAAGUAAGCAGGAUGGUGAAACGCUGGAAAGUGAUGACUGGCAUACAACGAUCUGGCGGAGAACUAAGGAAACAGGUGGUGGUUAAAUACAAGAGGUUGAUUACUGAUUUAAAACCGGUGUGUGUAUUGAGGACCGGGAGUAAAGCGGGAGCUGCUGUGGUGUGACCAGAAACGGAAGUGCUUACAAAAUAAAACCAGAAACUGGAACCAAAACCUGACAAGGUAAAACAGAAAGGUCCUUUCAAAAUAAAACUGAGAACGAAAACCUGACACAGCAGAGACUUUAUGAACUACUAUGAAGACAUUCAUCAGUCACUUCCUCCAAAUGACAGAAAUCACUGUCUAGAUCCAACAACUUUAAAUUUACCUCUGUCCUCUGUCUUACCUAGACAGCUUCUUCCCCAUAACUCAUAUGGAGUUAAUCUCAAUAAUCAACUCUUCCAAGUCGUCCACCUGUCUUUUAGACCCAAUCCCAAACACAUUACUCAAAGAUGUUCUACCUUUAAGCAGCUCAUCCAUAUUAAAUCAAAUCAACUAAUCUUUACUAAUAGACUAUGUACCACAGGCUUUUAAGAUGACUGUGCUCAAAACUUUAUUGGAAAAACCUACUCUGGACCCUGGAAAACUAGCCAACUAUAGGCCCAUUUCAAAUUUACCCCAUUUUUAAGAUUCUUGAAAAAAUUGUGGCUAAACAAUUAUCGGACUGGUCUGGUCUCUGUCCUUGUCCUGUUAGAUCUUAGUGCUGCAUUUGACACAAUUGAUCAUAAAGUUUUAUUACAGAGACCAGAACAUAGCAUCAUAAUUAAAGUAACAGCACCAGGAUGGUUUAAAUCCUAUUUAAAUACAGAUUCCAUUUUGUUCAUGUUAAUGAUGAAUCCUCCAUAUGCACAUGGAUUAGCUAUGAAGUACCACAGGGUUCUGUGCUUGGUCCAACACUGUUCAGUCUAUACAUGUCUCCUCUAGGUGAUAUUAUUAGAAAGCAUUCUAUAAAUUCUCAUUCUUAUGGAGAUGAUACUCUGCUAUAUUUAUCCUUGGAGCCAAAUAAAAUAGAUCAACGAAUCAAAAUUCAGGGUUGUUUAAAAGACAUAAAAUCCUGGAUGUCCAAAAACUUCCUUCAACUAAAUUCAGAUAAAACUGAAAUUCUUAUUGUUGGGCCUAAAAAUCUGAGAUAGACACUAUUGAGUCAGAUAGCCACCCUGGCUGGCAUAACAUUAGCUUCAGAUUCUACUGUGAGGAACCUUGGUGUCAUCUUUGACCAGGAUCUCUCUUUCGCAUUGUGCAUUAAACAAAUCUCCAGAAUGGCCUACUUUAACCUUUAGGAAUAUACCUAAAAUCAGAAGCAUCCUCUCUCAGAGUGAUGCAGAGAAGCUGAUUCAUGCAUUUGUUACCUCUAGGCUGGACUACUGUAACUACUUACUCAUGAGAUCACAUUUCUCGGCACUGGUUGCCUGUAAAAUGUGGGAUAGAAUUUAUAACAUCUACAAAGCACUUAAUGAUAAAGCUCCUUCUUACAUUAAAGACUUCAUAGUUACUUAUGCUCCCAGCAGAACGCUUCGUUCUCAGAGUGCUGGGCUAUUUGUGGUUCCUAGAGUCUUUGAAUGUAGAAUUGGAGGCAGAGCUUUUAGCUACCAAGCUCCUCUCCUUUGGAACCAGCUCCCUGUCCAGGUUCGAGAAGCUGACACACUCUCCACCUUUAAGAUCAGGCUUAAAACCUUCCUUUUUGAUAAAGCUUAUAGUUAAAGGUGGUUCAGGUCACUGGUAAUGAUUGUUAGUCACAGGAACCAUCUCUUAGUUAAGCUGCAAUAGACAUAGACUGCUGGGGGACUUAAUUUAUACACUGAGCUCCUCUGUUUCCUUCUACCUCUUCUGUCCAAUAACCUCCCAUCAUUGUUCUAUGUUCAACUAACCUUGUCUCUUUCUCUUCAGUAGUUGUGCUUCUCCCCCGCUCUCUCUCUCUCUCUCCUCCACUCUGUCCUCACCUACAGGUAUCAUUGGACUCAAAGUUUGGUGUUUUUAAUGGGCAGCUGCGCAUCCAACCAUCCUGUCUGUAUCCAGUACCUGGUUCAACCAUCCUGCCUGUGCUCUGUUGUUGCUUGUUGUUCUUGCUGUGCUUUUCUCUCUCUCUUUAUCCCCUCACCCCAACCGGUCGAGGCAGAUGGCCGCCCACAUCCAGCCUGAUUCUGCUGGAGGUUUCUUCCUUGUUAGAGAGGGAGUUUUCCUCUCCACUGUUGCUGUCAAAUUAAAGGCUUGCUGUAUGUGUAUGUAUGUAUCUGUGGUUGUCCAUCACGCUCCAUCAUCCCACGCUCCAUGUUGUACAUCGUGUGGAGUAACUUUGAGUUUCUUCUUCUUCUCUUCUGUCUGCAGCCUCACCUGCUAUCAUUUAACUGCUGAAAUGAGUCUGUUUGUUGUGCUGGAUUCACUCAUCACUGAAGAAGCAUCAGAUCCUUUUCCUCUAUUAUUAACAACAGUCCUAAGCCAACAUUAGUGUUUCUGCUAAACUGGCAGAAAAAAGGGAAAAACCCAAUAAUCAGUGAUUCAACGUUGCUGCCAUAAGUUUAUCAAGUUGCUUCACUGACUCACAUGAAUCCAAGUCGUUAUUUGCAGACAGUUAAUAAUGUCAGCGUUGCUCCUCAGUUCCAGAUGCAUGAUGCUGUGGUGAGUCUGUGAACUGUAACAGCCUGCGCCUAAUGAAACUCUGAUAAAAAAUCAGACUGAACGAGACAUGUCUGAUUCAGUUCAGACUCACAGUUGCACUUGGAUUUUCUGUGGAAACCAAGAAGAAAGGAUCAGUUAAAAAGGGGAUUUCUUUCCAGGUGAGUCAGUGUGUUUGAUCUUGACCUGCUCUUGACCCAUUAGCUUGCAAACCAGCACAUAGAUGUAAAGUGACAGCUGCUGUAAUCAUGCGUCCUCUGCUAAGAGGAAAAGGAAACGGAGCCAGUGGAACUUUCCAACAACACAUCAUCCUUUAUGUUUGGUCUUUGUUAAUGUUCAGCUUGUGUUAAAUUGGUUUUCUUUGUUAGACUGUUCACAGUUACCUCUUGUUCGUUGCUUGUUGGCACAGUGUCUGUAGAUCAGUAGAACAAAGAGACCAUUGGCCAAACCACAGGGGACACACUAAUCUGUAUUCAGAUUAAACUCUUACUGACAAAUUAGACUAAUUUUUGCAAUACCAUUGGACAGAACUGUGGAAAAAAUCAUCUGCGUCUGUAUCUGUCUCUAGAUCAUCUCUGUCCCCCACAGGAUCCCAUGUGGAAACACCAAAGAGGGGAAGACACUGUCUGAGAUCACCUAGUAAAUGACCCGACACUGCAGCCAGCACCUGUUCUUGAAGCUCCUCACCUUUAGGUGGAUCUGUCACCUGUCCAGGAUCAGCCUGUCCAUCAAUAUCUGGAUCAUAAAGGACUGACCUCUCAUAUGUCUGCCCCUCAUUAGGAGGGACCUCCACAUUCCAAAGCCCAGGACCAAGGUUCUGUCAAAAAAGCAUUAGCCAGAAACCUCCACCACUGCACACACCUGGCACCCUGGAGUACUGCUGGUCCUCUGAUGGCCACGCAGCAGCAACACCUACUGUCCACAGCAGGAACGACGCCAUACAUCCUCAUAUGGAACCUUGUUUCUCCAAAGUGUUUAACGGCUGUCCUCUCGAGACUCACUUCCCUGCCUCCUGGAUCAACCCUCACACCAGAGGUAACCUUCUCUGGCCCUGACCCCACUGACCUUCCACAAGAUACCUAAGCUGAUUUGUUCCUUUCACACUGAUGGUAUUUCCAGUGUUUCCAAGUGU